rnacentral:rRNA from 1 species
GAUGAACGCUGGCGGCGUGCCUAAUACAUGCAAGUCGAGCGAACAGACGAGGAGCUUGCUCCUCUGACGUUAGCGGCGGACGGGUGAGUAACACGUGGAUAACCUACCUAUAAGACUGGGAUAACUUCGGGAAACCGGAGCUAAUACCGGAUAAUAUAUUGAACCGCAUGGUUCAAUAGUGAAAGACGGUUUUGCUGUCACUUAUAGAUGGAUCCGCGCCGCAUUAGCUAGUUGGUAAGGUAACGGCUUACCAAGGCGACGAUGCGUAGCCGACCUGAGAGGGUGGUCGGCCACACUGGAACGGAGACACGGUCCAGACUCCUACGGGAGGCAGCAGUAGGGAAUCUUCCGCAAUGGGCGAAAGCCUGACGGAGCAACGCCGCGUGAGAGAUGAAGGUCUUCGGAUCGUAAAACUCUGUUAUUAGGGAAGAACAAAUGUGUAAGUAACUAUGCACGUCUUGACGGUACCUAAUCAGAAAGCCACGGCUAACUACGUG